rnacentral:rRNA from 1 species
CUUGGCUCAGGAUGAACGCUAGCGACAGGCCUAACACAUGCAAGUCGAGGGCAGCACAAGGAGCAAUCUGAGGUGGCGACCGGCGCACGGGUGAGUAACACGUAUGCAACCUGCCUGUAAGCGGGGAAUAACCCGUUGAAAGACGGACUAAUACCGCAUAAUACUAAAUUACUGCAUGGUAAUUUAUUUAAACAUUUAUGGCUUACAGAUGGGCAUGCGCAUGAUUAGCUAGUUGGAGAGGUAACGGCUCCCCAAGGCAACGAUCAUUAGGGGUUCUGAGAGGAAGGUCCCCCCACACUGGUACUGAGACACGGACCAGACUCCUACGGGAGGCAGCAGUGAGGAAUAUUGGUCAAUGGACGAGAGUCUGAACCAGCCAAGUCGCGUGCAGGAAGAAUUGUCCUAUGGAUUGUAAACUGCUUUUGCAGGGGAAUAAAGUGCAUCACGUGUGAUGUUUUGUAUGUACUCUGCGAAUAAGGAUCGGCUAACUCCGUGCCAGCCGCCGC